rnacentral:rRNA from 1 species
GAGUUUGAUCUUGGCUCAGGAUGAACGCUAGCGGCAGGCCUAACACAUGCAAGUCGAGGGGUAGAAGGAGCUUGCUCCUUUGAGACCGGCGCACGGGUGCGUAACGCGUAUGCAAUCUGCCUUGUACUGAGGGAUAGCCCAGAGAAAUUUGGAUUAAUACCUCAUAGUAUAUAACCUUCGCAUGUUGGUUAUAUUAAAGUUCCAACGGUACAAGAUGAGCAUGCGUCCCAUUAGUUAGUUGGUAAGGUAACGGCUUACCAAGACGAUGAUGGGUAGGGGUCCUGAGAGGGAGAUCCCCCACACUGGUACUGAGACACGGACCAGACUCCUACGGGAGGCAGCAGUGAGGAAUAUUGGUCAAUGGGCGCAAGCCUGAACCAGCCAUGCCGCGUGCAGGAUGAAGCAUCUAUGGUGUGUAAACUGCUUUUAUACGGGAAGAAACACUCCUACGUGUAGGAACUUGACGGUACCGUAAGAAUAAGGAUCGGCUAACUCCGUGCCAGCCGCCGCCGU